rnacentral:rRNA from 1 species
UACAGAGGUCUCAACCGUUGUUCGGAUUCAUUGGGCGUAAAGGGUGCGUAGGCGGUCGCGCAAGUCGGAUGUGAAAUCUUAGGGCUCAACCCUAAAACUGCAUUCGAUACUGCGUGGCUCGAGUACUGGAGAGGAGACUGGAAUUUACGGUGUAGCAGUGAAAUGCGUAGAUAUCGUAAGGAAGACCAGUGGCGAAGGCGAGUCUCUGGACAGUUACUGACGCUGAGGCACGAAGGCCAGGGGAGCAAACGGG